UACGGGGGGGGCAAGCGUUGUUCGGAAUUACUGGGCGUAAAGGGCUCGUAGGUGGCCAACUAAGUCAUACGUGAAAUCCCUCGGCUUAACCGGGGAACUGCGUGUGAUACUGGAUGGCUUGAGUUCGGGAGAGGGAUGCGGAAUUCCAGGUGUAGCGGUGAAAUGCGCAGAUAUCAGGAGGAACACCGGUGGCGAAGGCGGGUCUCUGGGCCGAUACUGACGCUGAGGAGCGAAAGCGUGGGGAGCGAACAGG
rnacentral:rRNA from 1 species